ACUCCUACGGGAGGCAGCAGUGGGGAAGUCUUGGACAAUGGGGGCGAACCCUGAUCCAGCCAUGCCGCGUGAGUGAUGAAGGCCUUAGGGUCGUAAAGCUCUUUCGCCUGUGAAGAUAAUGACGGUAGCAGGUAAAGAAACCCCGGCUAACUCCGUGCCAGCAGCCGCGGUAAUACGGGAGGGGGUUAGCGUUGUUCGGAAUUACUGGGCGUAAAGCGCACGUAGGCGGAUCGGAAAGUUGGGGUGAAAUCCCGGGGCUCAACCCCGGAACUGCCUCCAAAACUAUCGGUCUAGAGUUCGAGAGAGGUGAGUGGAAUUCCGAGUGUAGAGGUGAAAUUCGUAGAUAUUCGGAGGAACACCAGUGGCGAAGGCGGCUCACUGGCUCGAUACUGACGCUGAGGUGCGAAAGUGUGGGAGCAAACAGGAUUAGAUACCCUGGUAGCGACUGA
rnacentral:rRNA from 1 species